AAUCAACGCUGGCGGCGUGCCUAACACAUGCAAGUCGGACGUGAAAGGGGUUUCGGCCCUGAGUAGCGUGGCGGACGGGUGAGGAACGCGUGGGUGACCUGCCCUGCAGAGGGGGAUAACCCUCCGAAAGGGGGGCUAAUACCGCAUGAGCCCGAGAGGGGAAAGACGGUGAGUCGCUGCGGGAGGGGCCUGCGUCCGAUUAGCUGGUUGGUGGGGUAAGAGCCCACCAAGGCGACGAUCGGUAGCCGGUCUGAGAGGACGGACGGCCACACUGGGACUGAGAUACGGCCUAGACUCCUACGGGAGGCAGCAGUGGGGAAUUUUGGGCAAUGGGCGAAAGCCUGACCCAGCAACGCCGCGUGGAGGAAGAAGGCCUCGGUUGUAACUCCUGUCCCGAGGGACGAAGUAGGUGACGGUACCUUGGGUAGGAAGCCCGGCUAACUCCGUG
rnacentral:rRNA from 1 species